rnacentral:tRNA from 1 species
GGGUGCACAUGUACCGAGGUGGCGAGGGUCUUUUGCAAGGACUCUGUGUUAGGUUCGACUCCUAUUGCAUCCACCA